GUCAGGGUUAAAUAGGGUUAGAUAAGGUGAUAGUUAAACAGGGUUAGAUAGGGUCAGGGCUAAAAAGGGUUAGAUAGGGUGAUGGUUAAAUAGGGUUAGAUAAGGUGAUGGUUAAAUAGGGUUAGAUAGGCUUGGAAAUAGUGUCAAAGUUUGAUCCUAAUGAGUAUGGUGACAGGGGUAGUCAGGGGUAAUUUAGGGUGAAUUUGGAG